UACGUAGGGUGCAAGCGUUGUCCGGAAUUAUUGGGCGUAAAGAGCUCGUAGGCGGUUUGUCGCGUCGACUGUGAAAACCUACAGCUUAACUGUGGGCUUGCAGUCGAUACGGGUAGACUUGAGUUCGGUAGGGGAGACUGGAAUUCCUGGUGUAGCGGUGAAAUGCGCAGAUAUCAGGAGGAACACCGGUGGCGAAGGCGGGUCUCUGGGCCGAUACUGACGCUGAGGAGCGAAAGCGUGGGGAGCGAACAGG
rnacentral:rRNA from 1 species